rnacentral:lncRNA from 1 species
UUUUUUUCUCCUCGUUGAAUCAUGAGAAAUAAGUUCUGGAGGCCAUCCAAAAAAUUUUCUUUAUAUGAAUUCAGGGGGGAUUUUUGUAAAAGGAUGAUAUGCGCAUAUAUAACUAGAAGUAUGAAUGUAUGAUGUCAAUUCACAUACGUGCUUAGGUGUUCUUUACAUGCAUGUGAUAUUAGCAAGUAGAGAGAUAAACUGAGACUUAACUGUGAGCAAUUCUAUUAACCUUUUAGAAGUUUAUUAACCAGGAAAAGUGGAGGGCACCAUGAUAAAUUACACACAUAAGGUGGAAGGUUAAUGUGUUUACUGUUUAGGUUAGCUAACAUCUUCAAUCCAAGUACUUGACCCCCAAAAACAAUUAUAAAGUUAAUCAUAACACUAUCAGCACCCAGAUUUUUAAGAUUAUUUAGCGAAUUGUUAUCGAUGACAAUUCGUCCGGGAGGUUACCUCAUGACUUUUAAUUAGUUAAUUGUUUAUUGCAUGGUAUGCUUAAUUAGUUAAAAACUAGUUGAGAAUCCGCGCGUUGCGGCGGCCUAUAAAAAUUAUAUUAAUGAUCCAAUAUUAAUAUUUGUAGAAUAAAAUAAUUUUGUGUCUGUCUAUAAAAAGUAUAUUAAUGUUUCAAGUUAAUAUUUGUAGGAUAAAAUAAAUUUAUAUUAUAAAAAUCUUGAUGUGAUACAAAUACUAAUAUAUAAAAUUGUAAAAUUGGACUAUAAUUCAUGGAAUUCAUGGUGAAAAAAUGAAAAUAAAUUUAUACACGUAAUUAUCAAUUUAAAGCAUGACGAAUCUUAAUUUUAUUUGUUUUUUUUUUUGGAAAAGUAAUCAUGUUCUUACAUUGUCACUUUCCUCCAAUUUUUUUAGAUUGAUUGUGCACAAAAACAUUUAACUUAAAUAUAACUACCCUCUUAAAAGUUGCUUGAACGGAGCAAACAGAUAAUGUAUGAAUAAUUUUUUCAUAUAUACAAAGUAAAUAAUAUAAAAAUAACAACAACAAACAUGUCCGAUAAACAAAACAAAUAUUAUAAAAGAAUAACCAACAAACAUACAUCAUUAAUAGUUAAUUUAUUGACAUCAACCAUGAAUAUCAUGUCAAGAGUAUAUUCUUUUACUAUGUUUGGAUUUGUCGACUCCAAUAUAACGGUCUGUAACUACAUUUGCUUGCAACAACCUUUACUGUAACACGCUAACAGCCUUCACUUAUCGUUGCAGAAGAACGACACCUCCGAAUUAGAAAUCGAGCAAGAGAAAGGUAUUUCUAAUUUUUGAUAAUUUUCAUCCAAAAAUUUCAGAAAAUUAAAAAAUAGAACGGAGCGAUGUGAGAGGCGCCACCUACACGCCCCUCGCUUCACUUUUAAAAAUCGAGUAAGAGAACUAUCAGGUAGGUUUGUGGUAUUGAGAGAGGAGGUUGUGUUUAGAUGAUCCAAAAUCCUACGAUCUAUACGGGUAUUUAUAGGUGGAGAGAGACUUGUUUGCUACUCUUUCCCAUAAUUAAAUAAUAUGAACAAAAUCAGAUUAAAAUUUUCAAGCUACUAUAUUCCAUAAAUAAUCUGUCUUUUCCAUAAUUGAAUAAUUUGAAACAAAAUCAGAUUAAAACUUUUAAGCUACUAUAUUCCAUAAAUAAUCUGAAACAAAAUCAGAUUCUGAAACUUGCUUCUAAUAUACCCGAAACUAAAAAAGGUACUGAAACAAAAUCAGAUUAAAACUUUCAAGCUACUAUAUUCCAUAAAUAAUCUGAAACAAAAUCAGAUUAUGAAACUUACUUCUAAUAUACCCGAAACUAAAAAAGGUAGUUCUAAUUUUUGAUAUUUUUCAUCCAAAAAUUCCAGAAACUUAGAAAAAUAAAACGGAGUGAUGUGAGAGGCGCCACCUACACGCCCCUCGCUUCUCAUUUAUAUAAGUAUAUUGAUGAUUGAUUUCUUAACAAAUGCAACUGAUAAAAUGGCGUGAAAAUAUGAAGGAAAAAAAAACAUUAUAAUUAAAUUUCGAACAUGUAAAUUAUGAACUCCGGUGGUAGAUUAUUAGGGAUGUCCGUUGAAUGGCCCAUAAACAAUAUGCCUCACAGCAACCCAAUGGGCAAGCCUAGGCCCAGCAUGAUAAGCGAGUAUUAUAAGAGCCACACUCCGAAUAGAAGUGUGUUAAAAUUCAAUAAAUUCAGGGGGAAUAGUAUAGACAAAGACAAGAGGGGAGUGUCAAGCAGCGGUACCAACAUGUGCUAGGAAUAAUGAGCUGUUAAGGGGGUAGAAUUUAUAUCUCGUACCAACAUGUCAUCUACUAGCACAAGGACUGCAUAUAUAAACUGAACAAACAAAUUUUAACCUCCAGAACUUGUCUCAAUAAGUUACAUAAGAGCCAACAGGUGUUUCAAUAAGUAGACAAAAUAAUUACAUAUAAGCUGGAUAAAUUAGAAGAAGCAAGUCUUGAGUUUCUCGGUUGUGCUUUAGCACCAACCGCCACCAAGAUGAUAUGAAUAAUUGGUGUCUGUAUGCUAUAUUCUCCAGCACAGUAGUUAAUACUGGCUAAACUGGGUCAAAAACUCUUGGACAGGUGCCUUUCAGAAAGGCCCAUGGCCCAUGGUUGUGUGCUGUGUUCGGUCUUGUUUACAGGGAGUGAAAACAUUAUAAGCAGCUGCAAGAAUGUCAAGUCACUUUCUUUCUCUCUUCUCUUCAUUUACAAUAGGACGACAGUAGCUUGUGAUGCACAUAUGGGUGCUCCAAGUUCUCAACCACGAGUGUCCAAGUCAGUCAUUACAUUCCCCUAAGACCCAGGAGUUUGCUAUACUAUUAUGUUGUGUUUGGUUGGGGUGAAUGAUUCCGGAAAGAAUGGAAUGAAAAAUGAACUAUAUAAUGGACAAUUGUUAACAAAUUUCAUUCCUUCCUCCAUCUAGAGAUCAUACCUUCAAUUUGAAAUGGAAUGCUCCAUUCUCUCCUACCCACAAUUUCUUCUCAAAUCUAAUUCCUCCAUCUAGAGAUCAUACCUUCAAUUUGAAAUGGAAUGCUCCAUUCUCUCCUACCCACAAUUUCUUCUCAAAUCUAAUCAUAGCAAUUUUGCCUCACUUACAUUUAUUCCAAAACUUCCCUCCUAUCUCUGUUAGUUCCAAAUAAUUUUACUCAUUCCAUUCCAUUCACCUCAAUCAAACACAACAUUAGGCUGUGUUCACUUGGAUGGAAUGGAAUGAGAGGAUAAUGGAAUGAAAAGUUGUAUAGAAAUUUUAUGAAGAAAGAAGAAAGUAUGAGCUAAUAGUGACCGGAUGUGAAUGAGUUGAAUUAUUUUGCGAUAAAGAUUGUAAAGAAAUAUGAUGUAGAUCAGAUGGAAUGAGCAUUCCUUCCAAAACAUGUGGGAUAGAAUUCUAGUUAAAAUAGUAUGAAUGGAAUGAUUGAAGGAAUGAAAAUUGUAUACAUUUUUUUUGAUCAACAUCAUUUUUGAGUACAAAAUUUAUUUUAUUCUCCCUUCAUUCCAUUCACUACAAGUGAACACAACCUUAGUUCACUCCAACUAGGAUUAAUUUUUAUUUUCAUGAAACUUGUGUUGUAUUCAUUCCAAGUAAAGUGUCUUUUUAAUAAAUAACUUUCAGUUUCUUAUUACUUUUGUGACCAAACCAGCUUGUCUGAAAAUGUUAAUAAAAUUUCAAGUUUAAGAAGCGGUGAUAAAAUAUUUUCGAGAUGAACUUUUUUUUUAUCACCGCUUCGACACUCCUUAAUUCUCAUGUUCAAUUGAAGUUAUCAAGUAGGGCGUGAAAAAUGACAAGAGGGAGGAUGGCACGCGUGGACUGAAGUGUGAAGAGCGGAGAGGGGGAUGGUUGUGUUUGUGUUGUGUUGGGAGAAGCCUGUUUGACCAGCGUUGCAUCAACAUCCCAGAGUCUAGGGGACUGUUUGGCGGACCCCCAAACGGGGCCGACAUGAACCCGCAGCUUGUCAUUUAUGUUAACCUGUCCUCUUCACAAUGUUGAGGCUAGUUCUUUCUUUUUUUUUUUGUAAAAUAACUUAGAACUCAGUACUCCCUCUGUCCCUCUCAUUUCUUUACAGUUACUAUUUUGGGAUGUCCCUCUCAUUUCUUUACAUUACCAUAUAUAGUAAGUUUUUUCCAUCAUUACACCCACUAUCUUCCCCCACUAUCUCAUAUUUAACAAUAAAAACUACUAUUACACCCACUACUUUCCUCCACUAUCUCAAAUCUAUUAUUAAAUAUUGAUGGGUCCCACCACUUUACCUACUUUUCAUCUAACUUUACUCAUUUUUCAUACAUUGUCUUGGUCUCCGUGUCCCCCUCCAAUGUAAACAAUUGAGGGGGACGGAGGGAGUAUAUACCAAUUUCGCCAAUAGGGCAAUAGGCAAUGAAAAAAUCGAAUUCUCAUCAAAACAGGGAUGCAGUUUUUUUCUAAAAAUAAAAAUAAUGUUUUCUCAUCUAGGAGUAAUAUAUUCUCUGCAAUAUAAAAGUUGUACUGAUGGGCAUCUUUCUCAAUCAAGCUUUCAAAUCACGAAUAAUUUGAGCAGGGAAAAAAAUAUCAACAACAGUUUCGGAAACACGUUGAAACUGUUUUGAUAAAGUUUGGUCUCACUAUUAAUGUGUUUUGCAGUUCCGAUUUCGAAACCUAUACAUGGUCAUGCUACUUGUUACGUGUAUCUCCAUCCUCUUCUCGCCUUGAGCCCAAUCCGAAACAAUAAUUGUUCUUGUCGUGGCACUCCAGGUCACUUUCUACCAUACACUCAUACAGUACACGUGGGGUAUAACACAAUAAUCUAUAAAAUUGGUGUCAAGUUUACUUUGACAAUAUAUAUAUCUCAUUCUUUAUGAAGUUUAUGUUGAAAUUUUUGUUAAAUUUUUCAUGAUUGCCUUUAGUCGAAAAAAGAAGGUAACAUAUCCAGAAAACGAGCUUUGACCAGAGGAAAGAACUGCACAAAAAAGAGUUUGACCACAAAUAUAUACAAACAUGUAUAUAUAUUACUAGUAGUUGGUUUAAAAGUGUUCUUUGGGACAUAGUAUAAAAAAUAGUAAUUGUUGCUAUUAGUCUGAUAAAUAUAAAUGGAUGGUGCUGUUAGUUAGAAGACAAGAGGAUCAAGAUAAGCUUGUCUUUCAUAUCGGUUUCAUGUGCGUCCUAACUGCUUAAAUGUCAAUACAAAACAAACAAAUCAAAGUCGAGGGACAUGAGCCUUUGGUUCUUUUUAUUAUUUGACCAUGUCUUAUAUUUAAUACUCUAUGCUUUUAAAUUAAGACAGUUUCGGAUGUACGUGCUUCUUACUACUACAACUAAUAUGCUUUGUUUAUGACGGGUUUAAUAGUCGUUGUCAAGAGGCACUAAUAUGAUUAGAGUCCUUGCAGGUUGGUUUAAUUGUAUGUUGUUAAUAUAUUAAUCUUGCUUAGCCACUCAUAACUCAUGGGACCUUCUAGUAAGGUUUAAUAAGACGAAGGUGUAACAAGCAAUUAUGGACAAGUUAAAUAUAUAGGUAUAAAAUGAUCGGAGGAAAAAAUAAACAUAGCACAUUCCAAAUUAAGAGAAGUGAAUAAAAGCAGCUCAAAAUGUUACAAAUCACUUUAAACACCAUACUGUACUUGGCCAACUCAGUCUUUCUUAGGCAACAGCCAACAGUAUUAGCUGAACAGAGUACAGUACACCAUUAUACAAAUUUAAUAAUUUGAUGAGAUAGUAUUCGAGUGCACAAAUGAUAAAAGUCACUAAUAAUAUGAAUAUUUAUAUGAGAAUUAAAUCAAGAAACCGUGAUAUAAAUAUCUACAACACUAAAGAGAAGUCAAGGCAAUUAUUUUUGGAGUAAAAAAUUGUAAAAGAACAGUUCAGUUGAAAUCUUUUUUAAUAUUCGAGUAUCUUGAAAACACAAGUAUCUGAUACGAGAGUUCAUGAAAUAUGGGGAUUUGUUGGCUAAUUCAAGUAUUCUUGCCGCACUGAGCACUCUGUUAUUAUAAAGUUCCGGUAAAAUAAAUUUUUCUUUCUUUUGUUCUGCAAGUCAAAUCAAUUCCAGCCCCUGUAUUUGUAUGGAUAGUGGCCAACUGAAAGUGUGAAACAAUGCUUAAAUAGAAAACUUCAAAUUUAAUAAGUUUUCAUAAGGGUAAAGUAAAGUUAAAUUACUUGUAUGAUGUUGAGGAAUCUACUUUCUUUCAAAUUACUUUACAUGGAAACUUGGGAGAACAGGAAGUCAAACCAGAGAUCACUCCCAAAAAUACCAAAACAAAAAACUGAGCACAGAACAAUUCACAGCAUGUGUUGAAUGUAAUCAGAUUGUAGAAGUGGUAAAUUCAUAACACUAAAAACUCUUUGGUAUACAUGAAGCUAGCCAUCAAGCCAUAAGGCCCAGUGGCACAAAAUUGUGAAGUCUUGUUCUUGACUAUCAUGAUCAUCAUCUCCCUAUUUACACUACUCCAACAAGCUUGGAGAAAAAAGGAGCCUGAGAUGAUCAUAUGUAAAAAAAAAAGUAGCUAGACUAAAUCAAGAAAUCACUAGUCUAAUUCAUUCAUGCCAGCAAAGAAGCAUGACUACACAUCUUUUAAUGAUAUAAAUCCUGGCCCUUUGUUGUUUGAGGACUCCUCCAAGCCCUUUACUUGCCAUCCUUCUCUUUGAUCCUCCCAUGCUCAUCAUCUUCAACUCAGUUGUAGCUUCAAGAACUCAGGUGGUUCUGACUUGUAAAUGCAGAGAGAAAAAAUGAAUGUGAAGAAGAGUGGGAAGAUAAGCAAAGGGAUUGUUAAUUAUAUAUAGGAGGGAAAGGUGGAGUGUUAUGUAAUGGUCUAGUAAACAUCAACUUAUUAAAGGAUGUGAGUUUCCCCUAUCUCACCGGACAUUGUUUUGUGGGUCUCACUUUCUUCCCACUUGUUUUUCAACUCUACCUCAUAUUAGACAUGUAAUUAAUAUAAAAAUAUUAAAAUUUUGAUAAUUUUAUACAAGUGAUUAACAGGUCUAUCUUGUUUAAAAUUAUUGAAAGCAGGGUUACAUCACCCACCAACAUAGUGGGUCGACCAUAACAACAAUGAGGUAGCAAAUGCCCAUUAAUUUAGCAGCUGCUCUCCGUUUUGUUGUUGAUGAUGAGGUCAUAAUAAUUCAACUCAUUGUCUCGUACCUUUUUUUUUUUUUAAUGCACUUUCUCCUCUAGGAUUAUCUCUGGUGUCUGCCGUUGGAUCGACGUACCUUGAUCAAUGACAAUCAGAAAUUAUUAUUAUUCAGCUAAAUCUACUUAAUAAAGCCAGCGUUGCAUAUAAAUUAGCUCAUCUUAUCUCAACUCAACGUUGACCAAUCUGUUAUCAUAUUCGAUCAUUUGCUCAUCACAUGUACUUAUAGGUCAGAUUCCACAAAUAAAAGUUAGAUAUUAGAUAUACUAAAAGAAGACAAUAUGCUAAAUAUCGUUUUAAAUCCAUAAUUACGUGGGAUAUUAUUAUCUUAAGGUAACCUGCAGCUAGAACUAACCCUGGUCCCUGGUUUAAUCACAUGCACGCCAACAGUUGUUUCAAUAAUAUAAGUAGAAAAUGAGUUUAUACUUCACCCAGAGAAUCAUCUCUGUAUAUUUCGAAAAUCCCGCAAGUUCAUAUUUUUUUAAGUUAGCGGUUGCAUAAUCUGAAGACAUGAAAAUGCCUAUGUCUGUAAUUUAAACGUUGUGAGGAAUAUAAGUCUUCUACUUGCACAUAUUUUGGUGUGAAUUGAUAUGCUUUGUUAUAUAAUUCCCAGAACGAAUCCUCAAAAUUAGACAGCUGCUUUUCCUCAGACUUCUGCUAGCUGAGCUAGAAUUUUGCAGUGGGAUUUUAUUGCCAACACCAAAAUCCUCUGGGAUUUUAGUGUUCUGUAUACAAGACAUAUAGUACUCGUAGCUCACUCAAAUAUCUCGUUCAUGAGUCUCGUCACAUUCAUAAUUCUGGUGCCAAUUAUGUCGAAAUCUUGAAAAUAUGAUCAACUAUUGGACAAUAACAGCUAUUGAUGAAAUAGGAUCAACAAUCGGAGCAUUAUAUUUUUACCAAGUAUUAAUGCAAAAAAAUACAAUCGGAGUAAUUUGAGACGAGACUUUGGAACUAAGUUUAGAGUGGUGACUAGGAUCAAACUAGUGGAACGGUAAUAUAAUGAAGGGAACUAUAUGAAUGCACAAAACCCAAACAAUUAAGAAAACGGUUAACUUAAACUAUACAUUGAUCAAAAGCAAAGCAAUACACCAUCUCGUGUUCCACCCAUUACAUUUAGAAGUUAGAACACUGGCUUUACUUUCAAUUAACCCAACUUCCGAUAUAAGUUAUUGUCUCGCCGAUCUCCUCUAUAGCUGUAAAUAAACAAGCGCCCCCUUUUGUCUUCUCCCGGCUCAUUAUAUUUUACUACCAAGUUUACAUACGAAGUUAAUUAACUGGCAUCAUAUUAUUUAUAUAUUCCAAGCAAUUCAUAGUGAAAUUAUCGGUACUUAAUUAAGAUCAGAUGUAUUACUACUAACCAUCACCCUCCAUGCCUGGUGGUGACAGACAAUUAAUUCUUGUUAUCUUAUUUCCGAGUCGCAUAUGUAACUUGUACCCUGCUUGCGGCUGAAACAUAAUUCGGCAUGCAAUACUUGUGUGCUUUGCUUUCUUAGUGUAUUUGAGAAGAGAUUUCACAAUCAAUUUUAUUCGUUGCAGAUCAUGAAAGAUUGUUUAUCGAUGAAAAACAUGAUAGUAUGAUGAUCAGUGACUACUGAUAAUAAUUGUUCAUAGUCACAGAAUAUAUUUGCGUGCGCUGUAUAUGUGUAUCUGGUUUAAGCACACAUCAUAAUAUAUAAGGAACGAGAGACAAAUUUUAAACAUUGGGAUAUCGAAGAGAUGGGGGAACACAAUUAAUUCUAGCUAAAAUAAUGAAACCAAGUAUAAUGCAGUAGCUCAUUAUAUAACCAAAGUGUCCCAUGCUAGAUUAUUUAAGCUUUAGAUGUCGUACAUUCUCUUGAGAAUUAUUGUAAGCGGCAAAGUGAGUCUGGAGCACACGUGAAGAUCCCUUGAUUCGCAUGGCUGUUGUCUAGUGUACUAUGCUAGUCUGAUAUGGUACUCAUCUCAGUUUAUGUACUCGACAUAGAAUACGUAAAUUUGCAGAUAAUCUGGAAAUGGAUGGCAAACAUUAGGCCCGGGAGCUGGGACAAGAUGAGGAGAUUAUUAAGAAAAUAUUAUUAUUUCAUACAAUUCAGUAUCUUCUCUAUUGUCGAAUCAGCUGGAUACUUAAUUCCUGGUGGCUGCACACUUGCACUGCCCGUGAAAGACCUAUCUCAGGCCGAAGAUUCCUGCCUCAGGCGGGAGACACGGAUGUAUUUAAGUAUUCGGCAAAUAGUUAUUAAAUUAUCAGAGCCCGAAUAUUGAAGAGUGGUGAGGCAUUUUUCUUGACAAUUAUGUCAUGCAUUUCUGCGGAUGGAGAGUUGGGUUGUGGCAUGAGAGUGUUGUGUAACAUCAAAACCACAAUUAUCAUGAGAUGUCUGGGCUGUUCUUAAAGUCCGGAUUAUCGAGAAUAGAAAUUAUUAGCAGAAGUGGGUUGAUAGCAAGACUUUGGGAAUAUAUUGUAUGGUUUCUAACUCCAGACAUUUGUGUAAGGCCGGAGUGCCAGGCCGAAAUGUAUGGAAGCCCAUAUAGGUUUGGGGUUAAUAGAAUAUGGAGUAGAUUUCAGGCGGUUUUCUUAAAUUUUGGGCCCUGAUAGCCAAUCAAGACUCAUAUACACUUUUCUCAUUUUUAUCACAUGUCCAAAAAGUUUUGCAAAUCUGCACAUAAAGCCUCUUACGCAAAAAAUAAAAAAUGACACAUCUUCAGCAACAAAAGCUUAUAUCAGUAUGCACCCUUUUACAGGAGAGAAAAGAAAAUCCAAAGCACCAUGGAACAACACAGGGUGUAGAUAAAAAGUCAGAGAGGGGAUCAAGCACAAUUAUUUAGUAAGUUGGCACCAACAUAGACAUAGGCCUCCUCUGGCAAAAUCCACUCACAAACACGUAGCUCUAUUUAUAUGUGAUGUAUAUUAAUUCUAUAACAUUGUGUUUGGUUGGGGUGAAUGAUUCCUGAAGGAAUGGAAUGAAAAAUGAACUAUCUUAUGAACAUUUUUUAAGAAAUUUUAUUCCUUCCUCCAUUCCAUUUCUUACAUCAUAUGCUAGAUAUCAUCCUUUCAAUUUGAGAUGGAAUGCUUCAUUAUCUCAUAUCCUCAAUUUCUUCUGAAAUCUUAUCAUAGCAAUUUUGCACAAUCCCUUCAAAAAUAUUUCAAAAUUUUCUUCCUAUCUCUAUUAGUUUCAAGUAUUUUUAACUCAUUCCAUUCUAUUUCAUUCCAUACUCCCCAACCAAACACUACACAGGGUAACUGCGUAAGAAAUGGAAUUUGAGAACCUAGUAUUUAUGAAAUGAGCUUAGGUUCCAUUUACACGGGGGUUGUGUGAAACCUCUUUAUAUCAAUGUAAUUGUGCUUCAUCUUUUUCUUCAACUUGCUAUAGUGGAGGGAUGCUUUGUCAAAUUAAGGUCCACAUCAUUUGACUAUAUGAGUUUGGACUAAGGCCAAUAGGCCAUACCACUGAUUUUUUUUUUAUCAAUUGGAUAAAUAUUUGACUAAGUUUAUACAUAGAUUAUAAUGUAAAAGUUACAUAUAUUUUUCGGACUUGGAAAUUAGAUAAGUCACGAGAAUUGUGUUACAACAAAUUAUUGAGGAGAAACGUUAAAUAUUUAUCUAUAUACACUCGUUGAAAAAGACAGUGGGGGGCUGGGGCAGUUUACUAUUGAAGUUUGAAACUGACGUAUCUAAAGUAUCCAUAAAAUAUAAAUACAAGUAUUGCACUAUCUGUACUCGGUAACGAAUUGAAGUUGUUCUCCACGAACCCUAUAUACACGUGGGAUACUUCCCUUGUUAUGUUUACUCCUUCCUUCUUAAUUGACUUUUGACCGAUCAGCUUCAUUAGUUGUAUAAUUUAUUUUAAAAUUUUGUUUUUAUAAAUACAAAUAUGAAUACAAAUUUUAUUUAUAGAAAAAUUGAAAACAUUAAUAACGAAACUAAUAGUCAGUGAUCUAUUUACUUCAAAAAAAAUUAAUCAGUGAUCCAAAAAUUGUGCGUCUGUAAUCAACUAUCUCAAUUCUCAUCUAACUUGAGAUAGAAGUAAUAUUAUAUUAAAAUUGCAAUUUUUUCUGCUAUUAGAGUGAGCCGAGAAACAAACAAACUUAGAAGAGGAUAGGACUAAAAUAAAAUUGAUAUUUAUGAAAUAUAUCAUUUUUCAACAUAUUAAUUGCAAUAAUACUACUUACCUCAAAAACUUGCACAUUUACGUUCAUUUCUCUAAAUUGACCUAUAGUUUGCAAAUAUGCGGUACUUCUAUCCCCUUCACACUUCACUCUUCACACCUCUGUCCUCUCACAUCGUUCCCUCCCUUCACUCUCUCUCUGUGCUCCCUCUCCCCGUUCUUUCUCUUCACUCUCUCCCCGCUCCCUCUCUCCACUCUUUUUCUUUGCCUCUCUCUCCUCGCUUUCUCUCAAUUGAUAAAAUGAAUCGGGUCUCAAGUUUUCGAGAAUUCGAUUCAAACUCGAUUAAACGAUUGUAUUGUUGGUGGUUGAUGAUUGUAUGUAUGUGUGGGGUUGAUCGUCGAUGGUGGUUUCGUUGUUUGACGGUGGUGCGUCGGUGUUGAUGGUCGCCGGACUUAAGCAAAAUAGCAAGGGUCAAGAUGAAGAACGCGAGAAAGGGGUUAUGAAAGAUGGGAGGAUGGGGCAGGUUGCGGGGUGUGAGGAGGCGUGGGAGAGUUUCGCAAGGUUGGUUUGUUGGUUGAUUUGUUAGAUUUUAGUUGAUUUUGUGGUUUCCAGUUUGUUGUUUUAGUUGCUUUUUAGGUUGCAAUGUUUGGCCCCGCAGGGGUAUUUAUUUUUCGACUUUUGCAACCACUUGCAACUUAUUAUGCAACUAAACGUAAUUUUCAGAAAGAUUUUUUCAAAGUUGCAUUUGUGAUUGCAUAUAUGGUUGCUAGAGUUGUAGAUUUGGUUGCAUAUGCAACCACCGUAUUUUUGCAAAUAUAUUUUGAAAUAUAGUAUUUUUGCAAUUUAUUUUAAAAAAUGAAAGUAAUUUUCCAAAAAAAUCAUUCAAACUUGGGUAUUUAUGAGAAAAACCCUAAUAAAAUCGUACACAUCUUUUUAAUUUCAUGAUGCAGUUGUAACUUGAAUUGUGCNAUAUAUUUGUAAUUAUUAAUAAAAUUAUAUUAUAUGCAUGUAUAUAUUAUUUAUAAUUAAGUUAAGUAUAUAUUUAUUAAACCUGCUUAAACAAUAUUAAAUUACUAUUAUAUAAAUUUUUUAUGAAAUAAUUAUAUUAUUAUAAUAUAUCUCUUAGCACACAUAAUUAUUAUAUUUACACUUUUUUAUAUCAUUUUAGUACUUGUUGUAAUUCCAAAUUGAUAUAUAAUAUAUAAAUUUUAUGAAGAAAAAUACUUUAGUUAUAUAUUAAUUUAUAUUUUAUUCAUAAUUUCAAUGAAAUAUUUAUUUUUAAAAAUACAAAUCAUCGCACACCACAUUAAAAUUUUUGUGAUGUAAUUUAUGCAUUCUCAUAUUAACACAAUAGAGUACAAUAUAACAAUUCAAAUAUUCAACCAAACUGCGUGAGAUCACCCUGGGAGAAGGUAUUCAUGUCACGGGUGAACAGUGGGAAGAUAAACAGAAUCCAAGUUAGCGUCACAUGUUCGACUAGAGUUGCUGUCCGUAUGUAAAAUCUGACUAGUUUCCAUUAACUAAUAAGAGCAAUUCCAGUGGACUCUCUAAACAAACUUCUAAGUCUAAAUUUUAGGAGCAAAUCAAAAUCUAGUGUUCCAAUGGGCUCCUAGAUACUCUUUAAAAAUUUAGGAGCCUACUCUCUCUCCUUUCUUUUAAAGAGCAUCUAGUAGCCCUUAAGUCAAUAUAAUAUUAUUUUCAUUCCAAUUUUCUCUCUUUUUUAGUUAACUUUUUUCUCCCAUUUAUAUAAAAUAAAUAUAAAAUGUGAGUUAGGAGCUAACUGUAAAGAGUAGCAUUGGAUUUCUCACGUUUUCCGAUGUAUUAACUUACUAAGAGCCACAUUUUAUAUUAUUUUUUAAGAAAUGAUUUAGGAGUACCGUUGGAGAUGCUCUAAAAGAGGUUAUGCUAAGGAGCAUAUCUUGUCCUCGGAUAUAUUUCGGAUUAUGAUUCAAAAAUUCAAAUUUAUGAUAAUUUUAUUUUAAAUUAUUUCAAUUAUUGAUAAAUGAUUAGUGCUAAUUCCAAUUGGAGAUAAUACUCUGUAUUGAUCCAAACCUUUUUAAUAUUAAAAUAUUAUUAUAUUUAUUAUUUAAUAAUUUUGUUAAUGUUAUUAAAAGUAAAUUAAUUUAACAUUGAUAAUUUAACGAUUAUAUGACUUUAAAUAAAAAUUAAAUUAUCAAUUUAGUCAUCCGCUGAAUCAACCUUGUUUUUCCGAAAUACUAAUCAGAUACAUCUCAUAACAAAGAUGGCUGCAUGCAUUAUCACCUGAUUUAGUCCUGCCAGGCUAAAUAUUUGACUUUGGACCCCAAUAUAAACUGAUUUAGUCUUUCGAAAGGGAGAUGUGGGAGGAACGGUUGAUGUUUGCCAUUCCGACCUCUUUUCAACUCCAGCUUUUAUAUAUUGUACAGGUACUUCAAUGUUGAGUUAAUGCUGCUUGAAUUGUUGGCACGUCUAUGGUCCUGAUUAUGAAUAAUGAUGUUAAAAGAUACUGUAGAGAUUUAGUAACCCGGAAGAGAAAUUUCAUCUGCUUUUUUACUCUGUUUUUUUUUUUUUUUUACAGACAUGUUAGUAAAGAAAUAAGAAUUUUUUUAGAAAAUGCUAACUUUUUUCAUUAUAACUUGUACUUCCGUUUUACUUUUCACUUUUAAAGAAGAAGUAAUUUCUGUUAACCUAACAUAAAUUGGACCCUUAGUUUCUAAAAGUGGUGUUCACCAAAUAAAAUAUUGGGAAAUUCUUGAUGGUACACUCAUAGAAUUGGCUUUUCUCAAUGGUACCAUCGCAUUUUUGACUUCUACCAGUGGUACCCUCGUACUUUUAAUUUACUCUCUAUGGUACACUCGUGUACUUUUGAUCUACUCUUUAUUGAUUUUAAACUGUAAAACAAAUUAUAUAUUUGAAAUCCUUGCGAAAAGUUACACAAAAUAGACCUUAAAUCAUGUAAAACAGAGUCAAAAUGAGUGAGAUAUAUUCAAACUUCAUAACCAAACUUUGUCGUUAAUAUCUCACUCAUUUUGACUCUGUUUUACAUGAUUUAAGGGUCUAUUCUCUGUAACUUUUCGCAAGGAUUUCAAAUAUACAAUUUGUUUUAGAGUCUUAAAUCAACAGAGAGUAGAUUAAAAGUACACGAGUGUACCAUCAAGAGUAAAUUAAAAGUAUGAGGGUACCACUGGUAGAAGUCAAAAAUGCGAUGGUACCAUUGAGAAAAGCCAAUUCUAUGAGUGUACCAUCAAGAAUUUCCCUAAAAUAUUUCUCGAACAUGUACAUUAGGAAUUUAGGAUUCGGGAGAGCAUUCAUGAGAUAAUUUCUUUUUCUUUUUAAUUGUGAAGCGUUCUAGGUGAUCACGUAGUUAGUUUCAAUCCACGUCAUAUUCUUUUUAACAAUUGUGAGAGUUAAGAGUUCUUUUAAAUAAAUCAAAUGUGAUUUAUAAUAAUCAAAAUAAUUUAAUAUGAUUAAUUGAGAAGAAAAAGUUUAAUUUAGUAUGUGCUAUUUUAUAUCAUGAAGAAGAUUUAGUUUGAAUGUAUUUAUAAUUUUUUUUUCUGAAAUAAAUUAUUAGAAAGUAUAUCUUCUACUGAAUUCUAAACUCAAGUGAAUUUUUAUCUAGAUGUCAAAAAGAACAUCCUGAGAUUGCUAUAUGGUGUUAGCUCGAUAACGAAUGUGAUUUAUUGAACUAGUCAACUACUGUUAAUUAGGAAAAAAAAGGUAACCAGUAUGUAUGCAUGUAAAAGGUCGGAAUAUUAUAAAUUGAAAUUAAAGUGUUCUGGUUAUCAUAUUUUAAAAUAUAAUUAUGAGUAUCACGCAAAGAUGCAUGUUGAUCUAGCAUUAGGUUAUAAAGAUAAUACCCAAGUUAUUAAUAGAAACCUCAGUUCCUGCAAAAAUCUUGUGGCAAAGAAAAUGAAAGCAUAAGAGGGUGUUUUUCGUGAAAAUGAAAUAGGAAGGAGGUAUCCAGAUUUGCAGGAAGUUAUAGUUAUAUGUUUUUGCUUUUUUCUUUUGUUGCUCGCAGGCAAUUAUAUAGUCCUACAAUUCUCUCUCAAAAUUAGGGUUUGCAGUUUUGAGAGUCGACUCCAAGUUCUAACCCCCACUUCUCCGCUUUUCAUCCUUCAUCCCCUCUGAUUAAUCAUCUUCGUUCUUCCAUCUUCUCUCGUAUUUUUUAGUUUUAUCAAUAAAACCAAGAUCUAAUCCUUUUGGGUGAGUUCUUGUUGAGUACCUUGUCAUUAAGGUCGUGCCCAUCUUUUGGGAUGUUUGUGUCUGUUUUGACGUUUCUGUGUGUUUUGUUAUGGGUCUCGGUAAUGUUUCUAAGAAGGAGUUACAUGAUAUUUUGGAUAAUCCGUGAGGCUUGUAUCAGAUAUGGCACGGUGGUGAAUAUCGUAAGAGCUCACCUUUCACGACAUAAAAUUGUUCAUCUUUUGGGGUCAUUUGUUGAUCCAAUAUCGGUUGAUGUAACUGAUAAUUCUGAACAUUGGGCUACAGAUGCUGCUGCUUAUGUGAAGGUCAAUUGCGAUGCUGCUAUGUUCACAACUGAUAUAGGUUGGAUUGUUCGAGAUCUGAUUGUAAUACUUUUUAGUAUAAAGAAUUUAAAUAUUCUAUCUGUUAAACGAUCUGAAAACAAAGCGGCUAUAUGUUUAGCUCGUUUUUUGUUUCUUAAUCAGGUUGUAAUUGACAGUUCGAGGGUUUGUCUCGGCUGGGUUUCAGUUAUCUAUUAAAAUUUUUUGCUUUUCGUCAAAAAAAAAAAUAAAGAUAAUACCCAAUAUACCUGUAUUAUGAGAGAUAUGUUAUAUUUUUAUGGGCUUUUUAAAAAAAAUAAACAUUAUAUUAUAUAGUGUUUUCAAAAAAAUUAUAAACGUUACAUGCAUAUCAUGUGUCUGAAAGUUUAUACAAACGAGUUGUUUAUAGUAACAUGUCAUUUAGUUUUAUAUUCAAAUUUUAAUCAUUUAUUUGGAGUAUAUUUAGUUUUUCUUUUCUGUAAUUACUAAGUGCAUUAGCAAUUAAUCCAACUUUUUUUUAUAAAUAGGACUGAAUUAGUGACGGUUUUAGAUAAGUGAAUGGAAGUUUUCCACAGCAACAUUGGUAAAUUCUGAACUAAAACCAAAUUAGUAAAUUAUUAAACAAUAAAAUCAAUAAAUCAAUGUGUGAAAAAGGGUGCAGCAUACGAUUUGCAUGGUAAAAACUGAAAACAUGAUAAAGCUUAAAGCGAGAAAGAUCAUGGAAUAUAUUCUAAAUUCUUUCAAUUAUAUUACUCCCACUCUAAAAAUUCCGAGCAGAUCUUAGACAGAUAGAUAUUCUGGCAUUAUAAAAUCACACAGUGUGAAAAUAAGACACGGUAAUGAUGAUAAUUAGUUUCCCAGAUAUCUCCCGAAAGUGGAAAGUAGUCUAGUUGGAAGGUUCCAUAUACAACUUGAACAAUACCGCAAUUCAAGCAACAAUAAAUUCCAUCAUUCAUUUUUUUUUUUGACAAUGCAGGCUUAUAUGCCUUACAACUUAGUAUCUGUUCUAAUAAUUCUCGGGGUGAGCCAGAGUCGAACCCGGGUGCCCCGGGUCAACAGAGGAUAAACCCACCACUGGGCUAUCCAAUCGUGCUCAAUUCCAUCAUUCAUUUAAUUUAUCUCUAAUUUUAAUUUUCAACUAUCUUCUUCGUUUACUUUCUAUACUUUUUUCACCCUCCUCCCAUUAAUCACGCCCCCUUACUCUCUCUCACUCCCACCUUUUCAUUCCUUCUCUAAAUUAUAUCACCCUCAACUACAACUGCCGGUACUACUACAUCUCAAUCUCAUCCCUCCUCCAUUACCAACCAAAAUGAUGAUAUUGAUGAUUGGCUUCUCUUUCUCCUUCCUCCUCCUCUCCAUCUCUCUCCCUUACUCUCUCUCCUCUUCCCCUACUUAUGGUACUCUCUCUCUCUCUCUCCCUCCCUCUCUCCUCUCUCCUUCGUUCUCUCUGACUAAGCUUUUGACAUUGACUGUGUCUGUGUGUAUGUAUCUGUUUAACUGUUUUGUUGACUCAGAUAAGGCGUUUCACAUUGACUGCGGUGGCUCAACUCAAAGCACCGACAAAUUCAACACUACGUGGCUCGCCGACGAGUUUUUCUCCGCAGGAGCUACCGGUUUAGUCUCCGAACCGCUCCGAUUCCAGAAUCUUCACGAAAAAACGGUUCGAUUCUUUCCGAUUAGUUCCGGUAAGAAGAAUUGCUAUACUGUACCUAAUUUACCGAUCGGUUCUCGUUUCUAUAUACGUACAUUCACUGUUUAUGAUAAUUACGACGGCAAGUCACAUUCGCCGUCUUUCGAAGUUUCGGUUGAAGGUACUUUGGUGUUUAGCUGGCAUUCCCCGUGGCCGGAAGACAUAAGUCGUUCCGGUGCUUACUCCGAUCUUAUUGCAUUUAUAUCUGAUGGCGAAGCGGAUAUUUGUUUUUAUAGUAUUGCUACUGAUCCACCUGUGAUUGCGUCGCUUGAGCUUGUUCAGAUCGAUGCAGCAGCAUAUGAUGCUGCUUCUAUAGGGAAUAGCUCGAUUUUAGUGAAUUAUGGGAGGUUGACCUCUGGUUCGGGUCAAUGGGGACCGGGAUUUAGUAACGACACUGAUUUGUUUUUUAGGUCGUGGCAGUCUGAUGCUGACUUCAGGUCAGAGAAUUCUGUUGGUAUUAAGUCGGUUUCGGCUGUUAAGAAAGUAAUUAAUACAGAUAGGAGUCCGAAUUUUUUUCCAGAGAAACUGUAUUCGACUGCUGUGGUGGCCAAGGGAAAGGGGGGAUUGGAGUAUGAAUUGCAGGUGGAUGCGAAGAUGGAUUAUUUGUUAUGGUUUCAUUUUGCUGAGAUUGAUGUGAGUGUGAAUAGAGCUGGGAAGAGGGUGUUUGAUAUAGUAGUGAAUGAAAUCAAUGUUACGAGGAUUGAUAUUUACAAAGAAGUAGGUGGUUUUGCAGCUUAUGAUUGGCAUUAUGUUGUCAAGAAUUUGAGUGAUACUAUAUUGAGUGUGAAGUUUGUUCCUGUUGUUGGUUCACCUUUAAUUUGUGGGGUGGAGAAUUAUGCUAUUGUUCCGGCUGAUCUCAAGACCAUUCCUGAUCAAGGUAAUACUAUAUGCCUACAUAUACUGAUAUUUGUUCUGAAGUUUACAUAAUCAUGAACUUGGCUGCCUAUUGUCAGAUAAUUUUAAAUAGGAUUGGUGGUUGAAAUUUUGGACAUUUGUAUGUAAUGAUUUGUCUAGACAACAUUCCAGACAAAUGAGAUGCUUGUGCAGCAGUCAAACUUUUCAUUUUACAAAUAAUGAGUUGUUGAUGGAGACAUAACUUUGUUAUACAUGUGUUUUUUAAUGGUUGUCUUACGUUUGCAGUUAUUGCAAUGAGGUCACUAAAGGAGUCACUCAAGGUUCCAGACCGGAUGGGUUGGAAUGGUGACCCUUGUGCUCCAACUUCUUGGGAUGCUUGGGAAGGUGUUACUUGCCAUACCAAUAAAGGGGAAUCUGCACUUGUGGUCUCUCAAAUGUAAGUAGUCCUGUAUUGUACUAAAUGGAUUGCAGGGUAUGAAUGUUUAACGAAGUGCUUACUUGCUUGAUGUUUUCUUUACUACUAAAAUAAGUAAAUCUUCAUUUCUAGUCCAUGAUAAUUCAGUUGAUAUAAGACUUAAGUCAACUCUUACUUCAAUAUACAUGUCACCCAAUAUUUUGACUUCUCUAGCUUUUGUAGGUCUCGCAAACUUGUUCUGUUUUCCAUAUCACUGUUGUAGGAUGUUGUAAAUUUUCUUCAAUAUGCUAUAUCUUGCACCAACUCUAGUUUUAUCUCUAUAAGUUACUAGUUGCAACAAGAGGUAACCAACACACAAUUCAUAUGUUCUUUAAAUUUUUCAGAGAUCUUGGGAGUCAGGGAUUGAAGGGGUACAUUUCUGAGGAAAUCAGUUUGUUAUCAAAUUUGGUAAGCUUGUAAGUAUCAUCAAUUGAUUUCUUUUGCCUCUAAAUAUUUUUCUGUUUAUUCUUUGUUGUCUUAAGCCUUUUUUAUGUGUUGCAACCGAAGUUGUAUGCAGGGUGGUCGACCGAAUUUUGAAUUGCUUGAAAUGAGAAUAGUAUUUUGUGUUCUUACGAACGACAUUGUAUUGCUCUUGGUUUUUUUUUUGCUAAUUUUUUUGACAAAUGUUAUUGAUGCUCUGGGUUGCUUGUGAAACUUCGAGGCAUUUACGAUUUUUUUAUGUAUCACAAUGAAAUGCCAUAAAAUAUGUUAGGAUAUCAAGAUGUAAUUCAGGAAGCAGUUCUAUGAGUUAGCAAGUCAUAAUCAGCUCUUAAAUUCUUUAUGUAACUCUCACCCCCUGAGGUUCUUUAGUUCCAUCAUCUUCUGUAUUAUGUGAGCAAGGACCAGAACUACUGUAUCAGUCCCAAAGAAUUUCGGAUAGAUUUUCAACUCCAAAUUUAAAUAUCUCGACCAGUGAACACUUAAUUUUCUGUAUUAACCAUUAGAUGUGAGAAACCCUCAAUUUAUACGAUAUUCGAAACUGACCAACCAUUGUAUAAGAAGCUGAAACCAUUGUUCUUAUAAUGUUUAGGCGGGAAAGUGAAGCUUUUAAUGGGUAGAUUUUUUCUACAAUAAGGAUAAAUAGCUUUAACGACAGGAAUCAACUCCAACCUUUUUACCUUCUACACCUCAGUAAUUACAAUAUUAGAUGUCUCGCGAUCUUGUCAAUUCGUUUACAGAAAAUAUAUUUUUCUGUUGUGUACAUCUUUCUUAGGAUACUUUAUAUUUUUCUGCCUGAUUUAUUCAGCAUAUUACAUUCCUUUCUUCUUAAUUGCAGGAACCUAAGUUCUAAUACUCUGGGAGGUACUUUACCCUUGGGGUUGGGCCAGAAAUCUCUUGUAAAGCUGUAAGAAUUGCUUGCAAGUAAUUCUUGCAAUAUAUUUACAUAUAUGAUAAUAUUAAAUAAGCCAAAUUGGGUAAUACAAGGUGUGGUUUAAUGAAUUUGUCAUUUUGCUGGCAUAAGUAAUGUGUUAGUAGACAUGGUUUCAUCUUCUCGCGUGACUCAAAAUUUGAGCUGUAUUAAUGCAGGGAUCUGUCGAGCAAUAAAUUUUCUGGAUCAAUACCUGAAAGUCUGACUUCUUCAAAACUGCAGCUUGUGUAAGUUAUAUGCUUUUCUCCUUAAUGAUUAAACAGAUUAAGCUCAUUGAAAACGAGAAUUAUGCUCUUGUUCUUUGCAUGUUGAGUAAUUUUUUUUAUUAUUUUGAAAUAUUGCCUUUUUUUAUUUUUAAAAGUAUUUGAUCAAGCAACAAAAUAUGUUAACAUGUGUACCAGUCACCAAAAUAUGGCAUUUAUGAUACUUGAGCAGAAAUGUAACUAUGGCUAGCUACUUAACAAGGGUACUGGAGUCGAGUCAUAUAUUUAGUGAACGUAUUUUCUAGCUAUGGUUUUUACAAAGUAGAGAUAUAUGAGAAUUCUUGUAAAAAAGUAAAUAAUAAAAUCUUAUGUUGUCUUCAACUUCAAAAUUAUCCUUUGUAGUAACACUUUCCCUUUACAGGUAUCUUCUAAAAUUACGCACUUCUCUUCUGAAAUUCUUUUCUUUUUUUGAUUAUGUAUUUUACUCUUAAAUCAGGCUGCUGAAUGAUAACUCAUUGGAAGGGCAAGUCCCUGAGGAGAUUUAUUCAAUCGGAGUCCAUGGUGGAGCUAUUGAGUACGUGAUAUUGUCCUGUUUAUUCUCAUCAUUAUUUUUUCUGGUUGCUGCUUGUUUUGAGCACCUUAAAUGUCUGGAUCAGAUUUAUAAAUAAGUCCUAGAUGAAGAUAAUAAAAGACUAGCACUAUUGGUAAAUUAGGAUGUCAGCACGCAUUGAUGCAUACCUUGGUUGGAAAAGUUCUUUCUAAUCUCUAUGGAGCUCUCCUACUUUAAAAUUUGAUUUGAAGUAAUCAAGUCCUAAUUUAUUAUAAUUAUGAAUAGGUGUCCAUCUAACAGUAAAGAGUAAUUGAUGUCCAGAGAGAUCAUAGUAUGAAUAACUAAAUUUUCAAAAAACUUCUGGACCUAAAAUGAACAUAAAUUUUCUACUUUUUGUAUCCAUUUAUCAUCUGAUGUUCUCCACAAUUGUUUGCAAAGCCACAAAAACAUGUCCGACCAAUCAAAAGAGAAGUGAUAAUUGCCUGCAACCAAAGCUUGAAAUCAAUAAAGAAUGCAAUUUCUUUGCCAUCUACUUAUUUUUACAUAGAUAUUUAGCUCAAUCUUUUAUCUAAAUAAAAAAAUGUACUGGUUGCAGCCUCUCUGGUAAUAAAGGCUUGUGCGGUGUACCUUCUCUACCAGAUUGCCCGCUCUUUUGGAAAAAUGGGGGUUUAUCUAAGAAUGGUAAAAUUGCAAUAGGCAUAUCAUGCCUCAUUUUUGUUUGUUUGCUGUCGCUGCUGAUAUACAUAUGCUGCAUUAGAAGAGGGCGUAAUGAUUAUGAUUUUGGGCUACCUCAUGAAUUAACGUGUAAGUUCUUUCUUCCUUCAAUAGUUUUGCCGAAAUAUUACGUAGAUACACACACACACACAAAAUAUAAUAGCUAACAAGAGGCCCUCUACAUCAACAAGUAUUCCUUGAAUUUACUUUAAUGGUCCUUGAAUUUACUUUUAUGGUGUCAACAAAAUAAUAAACAUCUAUGGAAACGACGUCAAUAUAUACAACAGUUGUCUUAGGUGUACUCCUAUAUGAUAAUUUUUAGGAAGCAAACAUGUACAAGUAUAUAUUGGUACUAGAAGCAUAACUCACAAGUCAAAAUGUUCAACCCUUUGCGUGUUCUAUUUUAUGUGAGCCUUAGUUUUUCAAAUUAUAAUAUUGCAAGCUGAGAUUUCCCAGUACAAUAGUGGAAAUUACUCAAAUUAGAAUCGUCUCAUUUCUAAGGUAUUGGACAUGCGUUAAAAAAUUUCGUAAAUGAAUAGUUUAAAUAUGUCCAUUAAGACAAUCUCGAACUCAUAGUUACCAAAAUUUCGUAGAUGAAUAGUUUAAAUAUGUCCAUUAAGACAAUCUCGAACUCAGCUACAUCCCAUAUACACUAUAUACAACCCAAUAAAAUAUAUUCUUUGUAUUAAAACACCACUUGUUAAUUUUAUACCAAUAAUAAUUAUUAUAUAUUAUAUAAAUGUAAUAGUUUAUAAUUUUUUUAUUUGAAAUAUAUUACAGUUUAUACAAUAAUAUGAAAACAUCCCAAUGCAAUGCAGAUAAAAGAAUUGAAACAGACUUAUACUUAAAAUGUCCGGAUUCAUAAUUGGAAAGGGCGCAAGAUUAAGGGCACGGUUCUCGGCUUAGAGCAAGUCCAAGAGAUGUCCUAUAUCCUAUAUCCUAUCCUGAGUUACUAUUUGGGGCAUUUGAUGAAAAAUGUUGAUCCAACAAUGUCCUAGUGAUGCCAUAUAUCACUAGGACAACCACCUCAAGUCCUAUUUUUGAGGCACAUCUCUCUUUGCUCUAUCCUAUAUUUUAUUAUAAAUUCAUAUGAACACUCUCUUUCUCUCUCUACUUUUAUAUUAUGCUUUAAUGAUGAAAGAGAGUCUCUAAUUAUAAAAUAUUAAACAUAUUGUAAGAAUAAGGCACAUGGUUGGAGUUCUAGUUAGUAACAUAUGUCGUAAAUCACUAGGACUGUAGGACAUGAUAUUUUAUAUUAUAUUUAGGGCUUGAACUAGGACACUCUUGGACUUGCUCUUACGUUCACAAAGUAUGAUGUAAAACGAAUUUAUACAUGGUUACUUAAUACAUAAAUAAGAAAACUUUAAAAUAAUGGUGGUAGAAUAUUAAUGGAAUAAACUUUUUAAAACUAGUAAGUACAAUAGAUUAUGAAAGUAGAAGUUAUUGUUAAAGUUACACCUAAUGAUUCUUGUUCCAGCAAAUUUAGUGCGCUGUAACACUAUCAUAGUGUGCCAGUGGAGAGCGUUUCUCUGCAAAAUGGUGCAAUUUUGGUAUAAAAGUAACACCAUUUUGGUGUUAUAGCAUCCCAAUGGAAUUGCUCUAAAGAAACCAUUAAUGACGUCCCAAACUAAUGCCUAUUUGAAGUGUAGGCUUGUGCUACAGCGGUUUGAACUUGCAUCAAUAUAUAACUUGAUAAUAACUAGUAAUUUUGACCACGUAUUGGUUAUAAAAUGACCCCCCCCCCCCCCCCCCCGAAAAAAAACAAACAAACAAACAAACAAACAAAACAAAACCCACGCCCACUGUGCACACAAAAUCUUCCCUUUAUAUAAUUAAUGGGGUCCAGAUACUUAUAAGAUCAAUCAACAUCAAUAAAAGCAGAGAAUUCUUAAUUAGAUUUUUCACACACAGAUCAAUAUAUGCCUCGACAUCAAGUGGCUAAUAGCCUAAUAAUUUUAGCAAUCACUACAAAACUUGGAAUAACUACUGAAUUAAGGAGAAAUUGCAUGUUCCUAUUAGUUGUAUAGACAAUGUUGAAAUUAAUUUAAAGCUGUUAGAUGGAUAAGUGGUUAAUUUAUUAAGUUAUAAACACUGAGAGAUAAUUUUGGGAAGAAAAUUUUGUUUUUGAAGAUGCAAGUUAAAUCAUUAUGAUUGGCAUGUAAAAUCAACUCUAAGCAUUUGCUGUAUAAUUUACUAAGUGCUAAGCUGCGAAGUUGAGGGCAAAGGCACUGGUGAAGAGAUUGAUAAAUUACACUAUACAUGUUUCUAGCCUAUAUUUGCAUACAGUAAGUUCAAUUCAACGGAAUGGAAUGGGGGGAAUAAAUGAAAAAUUAUUACGAAAUUUGAUGGAGAAACAAAAGAGAAUGAAAGAAAAGUGAAUGAACAUGAGGGAGUUUAAAUUGUCUUAUAGAAAUGCAAUGGAUCAUUAGGUUAGAUUUCUACCUUAAAUUGCUAGGAAUGGAAUGCAAGAAGGAAUAAAAAUUAUUAAUAUUAUCCCCAAUUUCUCCCAAAUAAGAAUACAAAUUUCAUUCUAUUAUCUCUCAUUCCAUUCCGUGCAAGUGAACACAACCUCAUAGGUACUAGUAAUGCAGUAUCAUAUACACAUUCUCAAUUGGGUUUGGCAUAAUAAUAUUGUAAUUUGUAGGAAGAAUAGACCUGCAUAUUGAGUCUCCCUAGACCUUUCACUAAACAUAAGAUUUUAACUUGGUUAACCUGAUCAGAAGCCUUCACCUUAGACCCCUUUCUUGACAUUGGAACGGGUACCGACAAACACACUUGUAUAACUGUGUGUAUAUAUAUUGUGUGAACAUCGGGUUGUGUGCUGUUGAUAGAUGCUUGUUUUUUUAAUGAAAUUAGUUAGGUAGACUGUUUUUUAAUUCUUGCUUGCCCACAAUGUUCCAUUUUCGUUUGUCGCAAUUCUUAUGAUCUCAUACGCAACACUUUUAAUUUGGAGGUUGUAUUACUCAAGCAAUUGCUUCUAAUGUCUUUUCCAGCACUGGCGGCAAAGAGAAACAGAUAUCAUAGACAAAAGUCCUUGAUGACUCUUGAAAUGGAAAGCCAACAUGCUAAAGGAUUUAUACCAAGUUAUAGUUCAAACUGAUGAUGUGGCUUUGCAGAUGAUUAACCAGAUUUUUGAUAGAAUUCAACUUGCCAACAAGGUAGAGAGGGGGGAUGUAUAUGUUGAUACAAAUGCACAGCAUAACAGGAUGAUUGGCACACUGCCAGCCGAGGGAGAGAUGUGACUCGAAGGUGUAGUUUUGUUUCCAAAUUUGCAUCAGGAUGGGUCCUAGAAAACUACAUAGAUAAAGAUGCAAUGCACCUCAAGUUUCAUUUAUGAAUCAGCUAGAAAAAAAAAAAAAACUCAAAUGCCCCAAAAUGUAUAAUACAAAAAAAAAUUUGGCAUUUGAUUAGUAUAUUAUCAGAUUUUAGAUACAUUACAUGUAGAUGAAGCUUGAUAGUUAUAUAAAAGUGGUCCUCGAUCCUUUUUAUUUUUUUGGCCAACUAAAGUGGUCCUUGAUUUUAUUAAUGCAUUAUCUGCUAGUUGCACAUCUUCAUAUUAUACUGACUUGUACAUUAUGGGGCCUUGUUGAUUUACAAACCUCAGAUUUGGCUUCUUUUUCUUGUCCUGAAUCUUGAUGGCAAGACAUACUCUCUUUUCCUUUGUGUUUAAAGUUGAAAGUAUUAGGUUCGCUAUUCAAUAAUGUUUUCUUGUAAAUUGUUGCUGAUAAUUGGUAGGCUUAUAUGUUCAGUGGUGUUGAGGCCUUGAGGGGUUGCUAUUUGUUGAUUUCUAUAAAGCCUGCAUAAUGAGCCUAUAUGUGUUUGAGGGGAACAUCAGCCUAGAAUGCUUAGCUGGUCCAGUACUACAGUAUCAGAAUAAGUUGUAGAUAUUGCAUCUUUGCUACUGAUUUUUGAAAAUUUUACAUUACCCUACACAAGUUGGCAAAUGAAUCUUGUUAGAAAGUUUGUACUGUACAAUGCACAUUCGUAAAUCGUAACUGUAUUAUAGCAAAUCAUACACUUUUAUUAUAUACUACUAUUCCAUAUGUAUAUCUGGUCUUUUGUUAUGGACAUAAUUCAUAUCAGUAAAGUUUCUUGAAUGAAGAACUUUCUUAGAUAGAAAAAGUCUAUUAAUUGAGCUAUUGUUCAUUGUCAAUGUUAACCAAAGACAUACAGUAAAGUUGCUUGUUUAAUUUAUUAUUUAGUAGGACUUGCAGUGGAACUUGACCUAAAAUCUGAACAGAGUUGUGUUAUUUUACAACUCUGAAUAACGUACAAACACUAUAAUCUUCCCUUGAUAUAGACAGAUGCAUAAAUAAGAUUUACAAUUUAAACAGAAGAUAAUAUAUUAUAUUUUGGAAAUAUAAGAUUCACAAUUCACAAAUACAGAAUGUACAGGCAGUACUUUGCCAAACAGAAAUCGAACCGUAGGAAUAGUUUAUCAACGACAUGACAGCCUAAGAAGUUCACUCCAAAUAUAACCACCGUUUCUUUCAGUUAUUAAUAGAGAUAGAAACUAAGGAGUGAGGGCAGAGGCGCAGAGGUAUGGACAUUAUGUAUAAUUUUGAAACUGAUCGACCCGUUUAAUUUAAACUUCUAAUUUGAAUGCAAUGCGUACGACACCUGUUAAUCGAAUCUGUUUAACAUGAACCAAAUGCUCCUUGCAGAUACACGUCGAGAACUUAGACAUGAAAACAGAAUAAAUUAUGGAAUGCGGAUAAAAAGCACAGCAGCAUUCAUUGACCGGCCGGAAAGGAAGAAAUUAAAGAGUGGGCAGUACGAAAUGCCUCAAAUUCUAUGGUUUAAAUUACACAGAGGUAGCUAAAAUGUCAAAGGCUUGGAAGAUGUAAAUAGAAUCGUGGUUUGUGCAUGUGAGGAAAGAGAUGAAUUGUUUCCUUUCCUAUAUAAUUGACCGACUGAUUCCAAAUUCUAAUAGUAGUACAAAAAUAACAAACAUCUGAUGGUUUAUUUCAUGCGUAAACCCAAGUUUGGCCAUGACUUUUUGGCAUUGAUUGAGUUUGUUAAUGUGUCACGUUGAGUGAUAUUUCCACUUCCAGCUACUACUAUUCCGUAUUAGUAGUACUAAUUAUUAUUCGCUGAUUGACCAUGUCUCAGGAUCUCAACUUGAUCUCGAACAUGUACUAUCUCCACAGUCAACCUGCAUUGCAUGUUGCGAAUCUCCCGUUUUACGUAAUAAGGCAAACCGAUCUGGCGAGUAAACACUAUAGUUUAGUAUUACUAGAACUCGCACUGUUUGGAGUUGUUUUUUCUUAGGCGACCAAGCCAACGAAAACAAAAUUUAAUGUAAUUUUUAAUUUCAAGUUGCAUUUUAUUCUUCGAUUAAAUAAUAUACAAUUUACUCUACACUUUAGCUAAUCUAAAAUACAAAUCAUAAAUCAUGUUAAAUUUAUUUACUUUCCAUCGUUUAAUUUUUGAUCCUGACUCAUUUUAAUCCGGAACUUUUUAAUCUAAAGUGUUACUCGUUGUUCUUCAUCAAUGUAGACAAAUAACUAAUAAAUUUCUGGUCAGAAUAAAAUAUAAUAAAUAUUAUUACUUGUCACUUCUUGUUUAAAGCGUGAUAUUAAACCGACACUGCAAAUUUUAAUAUUUAUCAUAAAAGAAUAUUUAAAUUUAUUUGUUGUAGCACUUUUUUUUUUCAUGUGAUUUCAAACAAAAUCUUUACAUAUCCCAUAUCUCUUAUAAAACAAUGGUUAGGUGGCAGUUUAUCGUAAUUUAGUCAUGUUAAAAAUAAAACAUUCAACUGAUCAAUAUUCUUUGCUUCGAAAUUAACUUCACAUUUACAUAAUCACCCAUGUGAUAUAUAUAUAUUGUUUCCAACUUGUAAGCAGAAGCACAGCUGAGCUUUGGAUGUCCGUGAAGUUUUAGUGAAGUUUUCCGUUUACGAUUGGCGUUUUCCUGGUUGACUACGUUGACCCCGUUAUAAAAAUCAUGCUUAUGCGUGACUUGUGUUGAUUAAUGUAAUAAGGUGCAGUAAAAUUAUGGUCCGAUGUUUCACCAAAAUUUCUUACAUUACAGAUUAUAUAGACCUUCGUGCACUGAUAUUGACAUGCCUUACUUGAAUAAUUAAAUUAUGUUCUCUCCGUCUCAAGUAAUUUAUAUUUUGGUUUUUGAAUUUUUCUUUUAAUUUUUUAUAUUCAAAUGUACUAAAAAUAAUAAUCUUUUGUAAUAUAAAUAUUAAAUAUAUCUACUAUUUUAUUUUGUUGUAUUCAUAUUAUAUAUUAGAUAUGGUCUUUCACUAUAUCACUUUUCAAAUUUUCUUCUCUUUCUCACUAGUUUAUAUAUCUUUUCAAUUUAUUUUUAAGCAAAUUCAAAGGGAAGAGGAAUUAAAAUUCAUCGAGCACUUGAAAAUUAAAAUCUAUAAUUUUUCUAAUAUGAACUGUAAUUUUACUUUUCAUAAAUUUUUAAUUUAUUUUAUCAUAACAUAUUUUAUCAUUUUUAAUAUGCAAGACGUCUCAAUUAUUAGAACAUAUAUAUAGAUUAUUAAAACCGUAACAUUAAAAUAAUUGUUGCUAUUGGACAUGCGUACAUCUAUUUUAAUUUAUAACAUAUUUAUUAUGUAUUUUCAGUUUUUAAGUAAAAUACAUUUAAAUCUCUUCUUCAAAUCAGAUGUCUCGGGUCUUUUUAUUUCUAAGUUUUUUUAACGAUUUUACUAUUAAAAACUUAUUAACAUAUCAAAUGUGAAUAUUUUUUUAAUACUCCUUAUAUCCCAUUUAAUUAUAUAUUUUUUGACAUGUUCUUAAAGAUAUAUUUUAUAGAAGCAGUGUAAAUCCUGAUACUUAUAAAUCCCGGGACGGGGGAGUACAUCUAAUAAAAUACAGUAUAUAAUACAAUCACGUUUAUUAGUUAUAUAUUAUAAAUCUACAUUAGUGAAAAAUCAGUUAAUCAACAGGUUUGAAUGCUCUCAGACAGUCUCCUGUAUCCAAAUCAGGCCAUAUUAAUGAAGCAUGCACACCUAUGAUCCAUCACUUCUUAAUUAUGAGGUGUUUGUGGUGGACCAUAUAUCCUCAGCGUCGACUUAAUUGUGCAUUUGCCAAUAGUACUCACUGCUUGCAAAUCACAAUAUAUAGCAAUGCAUAUGUAUCUAUCAGUCACUAGUAGAGUAUUUGUUAUGAUCUUUACACAAAAUAAGGAAGAUCCAGCUUUGAACUAGUCAAGGCUCGAGAGUUGCAUGGAGGCUCAUUCAAUUUAUUCAUUACUCCUCCCGCUGGAUCUACAUCUAGAAGCUAGCACGCUUUUGUGUAUUUCUAACGCAUUGGUAAAAAUAAUAGGGUGGCUUUAUUUGAAUCUAAAUAAGUUAUCUAUUCUUGAUAAAAAAAAAAAAAAUAAGUCAUGCAAUUUAAGUAAAAUAAUAUUUAUUAUUUAUAAAUAAAAAAUAACAAUGACAACUCACAACGAGUGACAAAGUACUGGGCUUUGAAUUGAAUCCUAUUGAGACGGGACCCAAAGGUUGUAAACUAGAGAUCUCAUCCAAUGGGAGAGGAGUUAAUUAUAGGAAAUGAAGUAGGUCCCAGUUAGGCAAUUAUACAAACAAGUCUCCUGCUCCAAGUCAAUAAAAACAACUACUUUUGUUUAUAUUACUUUUGUCAAAAGAACUACUUUUGUUAUAAUUUUUUAGGCCUCUUAUUAGUUGCCAAUUUAUAACUUUUAAUAUUUAAAUUAAUUUUUUAACAAAAAAAUUAAGGAUAAUUAUCUAUUAUUUACGAAAUUUAAAAAUUAUACUUUAAAAUAAAUUAUAUGUAUUAUAUAAUAAUACAAUUUUUUAAUAUUGUUUGAAUUAUAAAAUGGAGGAACGGAUGGAGGACUUUCCAUUCCAAAAGCGGUCCCAGAACAAAACCCUAGUGGCCAAACUUAAUUUCCUUUCUAAUACUACUACACUGCUUUUGUUGCUUGUUGUUGGUUUUCCAAAACAAUGGCCGUAGGUAUUUAAAAAGGUCUGGUCUCCACAUUGUUUUUGACCAUUUUCCACAGCUACUCAUCUUUCCUUUAAUCAUUAGCAUCACAACUCACAAGCUAUACAAUUAACAUCACAGGCCAUGCAAUUUCAUCUUUCCACCUUCUAAUACUCGCAGUACAUAUAGUACAACAAGGAGGUUUGUAUGUAAUAAUUUCUUUUAAAGAAAACAGUAACAGGUGUAUAAAUAAGGAAUACAGAUUAUGAAAACCACACGACAUAUAAAUUUCACCAAUCAACAAUUGGCUUUGCUUGUUUAAGCAAAGUUGUGGUGUGCUCGGUUGGUUGAUGUGUCAUGACCUAGUCAUCUCAACCCAUAAAAAAUGAUGUGGUUUAUACUCUAUUUGUACAACAAUAUCCACACAGACUACUUGACACUUAGAUGACUUGCCCACUUGCUCACGUAUAAUUAAUCCGUUAAUGCCGAUGCCAACUGGCCUAGAGUAUCUAAGAAACUGCACAUGGAGUAACUUUUAGAGUUUCAGGCAAUGUGGAAGAUGGGGUCGGUUACAUGUACACAAUUGUACAGGAAAGUUAGGUGUACACCAUUAGUGACUUGAAGUUAUUAAUGGUGUGCAUUAAAUGAAGUACAUCAGUGACAUGAUCUUCCGGACGCAUGAAAAAAAAUAUUAAAUAGCUAUGUUAGUGACUUUAAGUCACUAUUCAGUGACUUCCAGUCACUGAUGUUGAGCGAAAAACCUAAAAUGUCGGUAUUAUCCCUCUCACCUUCAGUGACAGGAGAUCACUGAUGUUGCAUUUAAUUUACAUCAGCCAACAAUGUACCAACACCCCAACUACCUAGUAAAAAAAUCAUAAAUAAGGUCACUGAUGAAAUCGUUAUAUUAACUCCCAAGACUAGAGCGGUGAAAAUUUUUUUAAGUAAAGAACAUUAGUGAUUUCAAGUCACUGUUAUAGUUCUGGGGAUAUUCGUGACCUUAAGUCACUGAUGAAAACGUUACAGUAGCUCCCCAAAACUAGAGGGCUGGAAAAAAUUCUAAGUCAAAAACAUCAUUGACUUGAAGUCACUAAUGUAAUUCUGGAGAUAUUCGUAACCUUAAGUCACUGAUGAAAUCGUUAAAGUAGCUCCCCAAAACUAGAGGGCUGGAAAAUUUAAGUAAAGAACAUUAGUGAGCUGAAAUCACUAAUGCGUAAUCUUGGAAAAAAUUCUAAGUAAAGAAAAUCAGUAACUUCAAGUCACUGUUGUAAUUUUGGAGAUUGAUUUAGAGGUUUGGAAAGAAUCUCAAGUAACAAAUAAGCGACACGGGAAAAAAAAAUUCCAAGUAAAUACUAGUGACUUCAAGUCACUGACAUGAUUAUAAGUAAAACUCAAAAAAAUGUUGAUUUUUGUUUAGCAUUUGAUUAACAUAAGGUAUAGGAGCUUCGUUAUAUCUAUAAUUAACGAAAAAAUAAAGUCCGUGAUUUUUUAAGAACAAUAAUAAAAUGAAAAGGAUGGAAUUUUGCACAAGUUCAACACAACACAUAUUAUCUUUUCAAUUUAGAUGAUUAUUUUGCUUGACAUAAAAACUCAUCACUUAUAACUAAUAAUAUAAUUUAUAUUUUGUUAUCAUCCAGACAUAUUUUUGAAAAAUAAUUUUACUUACAAAUAAAAAAAAUAUAAGUCAAACCACUAGUUGGCUGUUAAAAUAUUAAACGAAAAAAAAUUAUUUUUUUCUAAAACUUUUUUAAUACCAUCAAAAUAUAUAAACUUUGACAUCCGUACGGUUGGAUCAUCGAGAUAUAUUUUCAAAAAAAUUGAAACGACAAUACAUGAUAAAAUACUACUUACAUAUACAAGUCAAACCACUAGUUGACUGUUAAGAUUUCAAACAGAAAAUAGUUAUUUUUUUCUGAAAUUUUUUAAAUAUCAUCAAAAUAUAUAGACUUUGACAUCCGUACGGUUAGAUCGUCGAGAAAUAUUUUCAAAGAAAUAGAAACACAAAUACAUGAUAAAUGUCAAGUUACUAGUACAAGUCAAACCACUAGUUGACUGCUAAACUCUCCAUUCAAAUAAAAUUAUUAUUUUUUUUGAAACUUUUAAUAUCAUCAAAAUAUAUAAAUCUUCACAUCCGUUCGGUUGGAUCAUCCAGAAAUAUUUUUUUAAAAAUAUAAGCUGUAAUACAUGAUAAAACACUAGAUGCUAGAACAAGUCAAACCACUAGUUGACUGCUAAACUCUCCAUCCAAAUAAAAUUAUUUUUUUUUGAUAUUUUUUCAAUAUCAUCAAAAUAUAUAAAUCUUGACAUCCGUACGGUUGGAUCAUCCAGAAAUAUUUUUAAAAAAAUGUAAGUUGUAAUACAUGAUAAAACACUAGAUGCAAGUACAAGUCAAACCACUAGUUGACUGCUAAACUCUCCAUCCAAAUAAAUUUUUUUUUUUGAAAUAUUUUUAAAAUCAUCAAAAUAUAUAAAUCUUCACAUCCGUACGGUUGGAUCAUCCAGAAAUAUAUUUUAAAAAAUGUAAGCUGUAAUACAUGAUAAAACACUAGAUGCAAGUACAAGUCAAACCAAUAGUUGACUGCUAAACUCUCCAUCCAAAUAAAAUUAUUUUUUUCUUAAACUCUUUUAAUAUCAUCAAAAUAUAUAAAUCUUCAUAUCCGUACGGUUGGAUCAUCCAGAAAUAUUUUUUAAAAAAUGUAAGCAGUAAUACAUGAUAGAACACUAGUUAGCAGUACAAGUCAAACCACUAGUUGACUGAUGAAAUCUCACUCCAAAUAAAAUUAUUUUUUAAUGAACUUUUUUUCAUAUCAUCAAAAUAUAAAAAUCUCCACAUACGUACGGUUGGAUCAUCCAGAAAUAUUUUUAAAAAAAUGUAAGCAGUAAUACACGAUAGAACACUAGUUAGCAGUACAAGUCAAACCACUAGUUGACUGAUGAAAUCUCACUCCAAAUAAAAUUAUUUUUUAAUGAACUUUUUUUCAUAUCAUCAAAAUAUAUAAAUCUUCAUAUCCGUACGGUUGGAUCAUUCAGAAAUAUUUUUUAAAAAAUGUAAGCAGUAAUACAUGAUAGAACACUAGUUACCAGUACAAGUCAAACCACUAGUUGACUGAUAAAAUCUCACUCCAAAUAAAAUUAUUUUUUAAUGAACUUUUUUUCAUAUCAUCAAAAUAUAUAAAUCUUCAUAUCCGUACGGUUGGAUCAUUCAGAAAUAUUUUUUAAAAAAUGUAAGCAGUAAUACAUGAUAGAACACUAGUUACCAGUACAAGUCAAACCACUAGUUGACUGAUAAAAUCUCACUCCAAAUAAAAUUAUUUUUUAAUGAACUUUUUUUCAUAUCAUCAAAAUAUAUAAAUCUUCAUAUCCGUACGGUUGGAUCAUUCAGAAAUAUUUUUUAAAAAAUGUAAGCAGUAAUACAUGAUAGAACACUAGUUACCAGUACAAGUCAAACCACUAGUUGACUGAUAAAAUCUCACUCCAAAUAAAAUUAUUUUUUAAUGAACUUUUUUUCAUAUCAUCAAAAUAUAUAAAUCUUCAUAUCCGUACGGUUGGAUCAUUCAGAAAUAUUUUUUAAAAAAUGUAAGCAGUAAUACAUGAUAGAACACUAGUUACCAGUACAAGUCAAACCACUAGUUGACUGAUAAAAUCUCACUCCAAAUAAAAUUAUUUUUUAAUGAACUUUUUUUCAUAUCAUCAAAAUAUAUAAAUCUUCAUAUCCGUACGGUUGGAUCAUUCAGAAAUAUUUUUUAAAAAAUGUAAGCAGUAAUACAUGAUAGAACACUAGUUAGUAGUACAAGACAAACCACUAGUUGACUGAAAAAAUCUCCAUCCAAAUAAAAUUAUUUUUUAAUGAAAUUUUUUAAUAUCAUCAAAAUAUAAAAAUCUCCACAUCCGUACGGUUGGAUCAUACAGAAAUAUUUUUAAAAAAUGUAAACAAUAAUACAUGAUAGAACACUAGUUAGUAGUACAAGUCAAACCAUUAGUUGACUGAUAAAAUCUCACUCCAAAUAAAAUUAUUUUUUAAUGAAACUUUUUUCAUAUCAUAAAAAAUAUAAAAAUCUCCACAUCCGUACUGUUGGAUCAUCCAGAAAUAUUUAACUCAAUGAUGCUAUAUUUAAUUUCAGAGAUUUUAAUUCAAUGAUGCUAUUUAUGUGUAAACCAUUAGGGACUUUAACUCACUUGCAUUAUUAAAGUGUGCACCAUCAGUGACUUUAUAUCACUGAUGUUAUUAAUGCGAUUAAUACGAUAAGGGUAUAGUAGGAAAAAGAUUAUUGAGCGUACAUCAGUGACUUUAAGUCACAGUAUCAGUGACUUUAAGUCACUGAUGUACGCUCCCAGCACCGUCGAUCUCAUCCAACCAACGCUCACGAUUUGUUGGCUGUAAAUGUCCGCUGUACAAUUGUGUACAUUUAAUUUCCCCCGUGGAAGAUAUAUACGUCGGUUAAUUAAUCAACUACCGACAUAACAAAUCGUAACGACACCCCUGACGUAUACAAAUCAAAAGAAAUAUGAACUUUAUAUUCACUCCGGGGCUGUAUAAGAAAAACAAUGAAAUUUAGUGAGGAAAAAUAAAAACAAAUGAAUAAAAUAAUGGGAAUAAUUUCUAUUUAAUAUAUAAAGUGAACAUAAUAGAAGAAAAUAAUGAAUAUGAUUUAUAUUUUUAUAUUAUUAAACUUUAUUAUUUUUAGAAUAUAUGUACGUGUCAAAAAGAAAAGUAUAUAAAAAUGAAUGUGUCAGAGAGUAUAAAUAAGGCUUGUUUAGCUUAGACUUCUCUAAAAAAUAUAUAUAAGGUUUGUUUAGCUGGAUUUCUCUCGUCUUCAUCUAAGUUAAAAUUAGUCUUUAUAAUAAAGUUAUAUAUUAAUUCCUAAAUUAUAAAUUGAAAUUUGAUAAAUCAAAAAUAUUUUUACUGUUUAUUUUGAUUUAUAAAAUUUGAUUUAUAAAAAUAUAUAUGAUCAGUCACAUUAAAAAUUUAUUUGUGAUAUUAACUAAUUAUGUUCAUAGUUUAUAUCUAGUAAGUUAGUAAUUAUUAAUGAAUUUAUUCAAAUUAAAAAACUAAAAUUAAAUUUCUUUAAAUAAUUUUUUAUAUGCAAGUAACUUUUUCUAAACUAAAUAAAAAACCCUUCCUACUGCCGGUUGAUUACAAAUUCACGUGAGUCUUUUUAGGGUCAAUAAUAAUUCAUAUGAUUACCUCUCCGUAUGAAUUGAAAUUAAACAAAAGUAGAAUCAUCACUUAAAAAGUCCAGGUGAACUACAAGGUAAAAUAUCCUAUCAGUGAGCUGGCAAAUAGUUGUAUAGUGUAGACUAGCGUGUGAAUGGAGUUGUGGUGACGCCGCAAACAGACAAAGAAAGCAACCAGAAUAAACGCGUCAUCACCAAGUUGCAACAUUUUUCGCACUGAUUAUGUAUUGUCAUUUUCAGUUUUUCUGUUAUUUUUCUUUCUUUUCUGUCAAUAUUACAUCUUUUUCUACUACUGAAUUUCAUCACCAGUCAUAUAAGAAUAUAUAGUAGUCUCGAUCUGUGUUUGCUUAUUGCAUGUUAUUCAUUUCAAAGAGAAGAUGCAAUUCUGAAUUUUUUUAUGUGUGAUGUCAAACUUCACUCAGAAAGAAAUACUUAUUGUUAUUCGUUAAGUUGGUUAUUGUUACUAGUACAACAUAAAUUUUCUCCCUAAAAAAAUUGUGAGAGCAUAGUGAUUUUUUUAUAUUCCAUUCACAUUUUAUUGUUAGAGAUAGAUAUUGGUUAUAAAAAUUGGAAAUGAAUAUUAAUGAGUACAGUAUAUCAUGGAUUAAAUGGAUGAAGAAAAUUAAUCAAAAGGAUUAAUUUUAUAUUAUUAUAAUAAUAUUUGAUAUAUUAGUUUAGUUUAUUUUGUAACAUAUUAUUUGAAAGAAUUUAUAAUGAUUAACUGAAUUUUAAAAACCAAAUCAGAAAGAUACCUUAUAAAAUAGGGAUUAAUCAACCGAAUCAGGGAUUUUUGAAAUAAAUUAUCAUAAAUCGGCUUUUUAAAUAUUUUAUUUGUCUGACGAGUGUACCGUUACACUUUCGAAAUCUUUAUCACAUCCGUUUCCGCAAUAAUAAAAUUUCACAAAUCGUUCAUGUAACUACGAUAUUAAACUAUAUAUAUGUCAAACAAAUUAUUCUUAUUAUAACAUUUUACUGCCUUUCACAAAAAAAACAAACAUUUGACUGCUGCCUAUUUCUUUUCUAUUUUAGAGUAUCUCCCAUUAAAAUAUAGAGUAAAGUUCUAUGGAGUACACAAAAUAUUGGGGUAUUGGAAUACAAAAUUGGAUAAAAUAUAAUCUAUUCAUCUAAAUUUCAAUUUUUUUGUUCAAUAAAUAUACUUAAACAUUUAAUAGCCUGCACAUUAUGUUCUACACAACAUAAACAUCAUAAUCAAAAGGUAGAAUAAUGACUUUUAUAAAUUACAGGACUCUGUGUUCUGCAAUAUAACUAAUAAUCAGAACAAUAAUGUUAAUACUUGUUAAAGUUGAAAGAUAUUAACGAUUGAUAGACAAUUAUGUGCAAGACAACUUAUAAAUGAUAGAUUGUAUAUAAAUUUGUAGAAUCAAAUAUAUUAUUUAUGAUUAAACUAAAAAAUUAAAAUUUGUACUCCAAUACUCCAAUGUUUUUGUGUACUCCAUAGAACUUAACUCUAAAAUAUAUAUUAUAUACUCCCUCCGUCCCUUUGAAUUCUAUACACUUUCCUUUUCGGGAAGUCCCAUUCAAUUCUAUACAUUUCAAAACUUUCUCAAAAUAGUAAAGUUUUAUAAUAUAAAAAUCCCACUCACCCACUAACUUCAUCUACUUUUCCAAAUCUAUCACUUAAAUAUUAGUGGCCCCACCACUUUACCUACUUUUCUUUCUUUUUCUUAUUAUUUUACAUUACUUUAUGCAGUUUUUUUAGUCUCCGUGCCCAAUACAAAUGUAUAGAUCCCCAGAGGGACGGAGGGAGUAACUUGCAUAACCAUGAAUGCUAGUAGAUAACCUUCCUUGUGGCAGGACAUAAAAUGGUGAUAUCACUUUCAAAAUAUCUAAACAGUGAGUUCAUAACAAUAUCAACGUCGUUAUCAUAAUCUUGCCUUAAAGAAGGAUUAUUCACAUUGACCCUUCAUCAUCAACCUAAACAAUUUUCUCCUUGAAAAGAAUGACGUGGAAGAAGGUACUACCAUUCUGUGGUGAGAUUGACGUGGAAUCUAAUCCUAAGUCAUCUGUUUUACUGCUGAAAAGCAGCCCUCAAGCGUUGGAAAGUUGGAAUAUGUAUCACGUGCAUUCACAUUGACAUAAAAUACAAUUAAUCACGAUAACUACAAAGCUUAGGCAACUAAUAUUAGGCAUUAACUCCUGUCCUAUUGAAGAUAAUGAUGUUUAAGAAGGAAGUUGGUGCAAAACUAAGUACUAAUUCGUAGCUGACUAAUCUCACGUUAGCAUGAAAGGAUAAUCCAUCUGAUUAACAUAAAACGAGAUCUGAUCUGAUGAUAUGAUGGUUCCACAAGAAGAUUAGAAAGUGUAGAUGAUGAUGAAAAGUUAAAAAAGAAAACAAAGCAGAAUCCAUAAAUAAGUAAUGUGUCAUAAUUAAUUGUAGGUAAGGCGUAUAUAAUUGAGAUUAUCAUGUACUCCCUCCGUCCCAGCCAAUUCUUUACGUUUGGUUUGGGCACGGAGGUUAAGAAAUAUGUAUAAAGUAGUGGAAAAAAGAAAGAAAAGUGGGUGAAGUGGCGGGACCCAUCAAUUUUUAAUGUAUAAAAGAGAGAUAGUGGAGUAAAAGUAGUGUGAAAAGGAAGGAAAAGUUGGGAAGUGGUGGGACCCCUUUACUAUUUUUGGUAAGUUUUGAAAUGUAAAGAAUUGGAUGAGAUAUCCCAUAAAAGUGUUUAUGGAUUUUAUAUCAAACUGACCACCCGUUACGUCAAAAUAUCUCACUUGACACACCCAUCUCAUCGGCGACUCAUUUAAGACACUACAAACCAAAUAUAUAUCAUUUUACCCACAUCACUAUUCAUACCUCUUUCCUUAAUCAUUUAUCAAAAAUUAACCGUUUAACUUUUUACUGCAAAACCACUUCGAGUACUUUCGUAAUUGUCCCUAGUAUUUAUCAAAAUAAUUUGAGAAUUUAUAAAAUAACAUAACUAUGUAGUUAAAAAUAUAUAUGGCUAUAAAUAUAUAUUUAUGUGAUCAACCUAGCUAUGUUGCUUUAUAAAUUCCCAAAUUAUUUUGAUAAAUACUAUAUACAAUUAUGAAGGUACUCGAAGUGGUUUUGCAGUAAAAAGAUAAAUGGUUAAUUUUUGAUAAAUGAUUAAGUAAAGAGAUAUGAAUAGUGAUGUGGGUAAAAUGAUAUAUAUUUGGUUUAUAGUGGCUUAAAUGAGUCACUGAUGAGAUGGGUGGGUCAACUGAGAUAUUUUGACGUAAUGGGUGGCUAGUUUGAUAUAUUCCUCCUAGAGUAGCUGUUAAUACGAAAGAGAAACUCUGUUAUAGCCAUUUCUGUACAUUCAAUGUACUCUACGGAUAGAGGAAUACAUAGAGUUGAACAUAGUAAAAUAAGAAAUUGAAAGAUUUCGUUGAAAUUGUUCGUUUGAAAAUUUCCCGAAAAACUAAUCACGGGUUCUUCUCAUUGGGAAAAGAAAAGUCAUGAGUUAACCCUACAACUAAAAUAGCGACGAAAAGAGUCAAUAUUCGCCCGUGAAAACUUUAUCUUCUUGGAUUGAUAAUUUUUGCUCAAUCCAAUAGGAUAAAAAGAAAAAAAUAAAAUAAUAAUACUAUAUUAAAAUAAAAAAAAAAUUAAUAUGUUUAGUUAGCUAAAAAAGCAAGAUAUACAAAUGAUAAUAGACAUUUUGAAAAUUUGAUUAUUCGCGAGGAGCUGGAUGAGAAGAAACUCUCAUGUCCAGUUCUGUAGUAGAGAUGGAAUUCAGAACCAACCAUCAACUAUAACCCCAAAAGAACCAGAUUCCGUAAACAACAUAGAGGAAGAAUGAAGGGAAUAUCUUAUCGAGGUAAUCAUAUUUCUUUUGGUAAAUAUGCUCUUCAGGCACUUGAACCCGCUUGGAUCACGUCUAGACAAAUAGAAGCAGGUAGACGGGCAAUGACACGAAAUGCAGUGUGAAAAGGAAGG